AUACAGAGGGUGCGAGCGUUAAUCGGAAUUACUGGGCGUAAAGCGCGCGUAGGCGGUUGCGUAAGUCGGAUGUGAAAGCCCCGGGCUUAACCUGGGAAUUGCAUUCGAAACUGCGCGACUAGAGUCUGAUAGAGGGAAGUGGAAUUUCCGGUGUAGCGGUGAAAUGCGUAGAUAUCGGAAGGAACACCAGUGGCGAAGGCGGCUCACUGGCUCGAUACUGACGCUGAGGUGCGAAAGCGUGGGGAGCAAACAGGAUUAGAAACCCGAGUAGUCC
rnacentral:rRNA from 1 species